rnacentral:rRNA from 1 species
ACAGUGGACGCGAGCAUCUUUGUGGUCAAAUUAUUAAGUGCAGAUGGCGGAUGCCUUGGCACCAGAAACCGAUGAAGGACGUAUGAGGCUGCGAUAAGCCUCGGGGAGCUGCCAACAGAGCUGUGAUCCGAGGAUUUCCGAAUGAGGAAACUCAGCGCGAGUAAUGUCGCGUUAUUUCUCCCAGAACACAUAUGGGAGAUAAAGGGAACGUGGGGAAGUGAAACAUCUCAGUACCCACAGGAAGAGAAAACAAACGUGAUUCCGUUAGUAGUGGCGAGCGAAAGCGGAUCAGGCUAAACCAUUAAUGUGCCAAGCCGGCAGGUUUUGCAUUAAUGGUGUCGAGGGAUCGACUCGAAUUAACUGCCGUUAAUUCAACAAGUCAGAAAUUAAUGAAGUAGGUGAACGACGUGGGAAAGUCGGGCGUAGAAGGUGAGACCCCUGUAACCGAAACUUCAUUAACUUGUAGUUGAUAUCCCAAGUAAUACCGGACUCGUGAAAUCCGGUAUGAAUCUGGCGGGACCACCCGCUAAGCCUAAAUAUUCUCUGGUGACCGAUAGUGAACAAGUACCGUGAGGGAAAGGUGAAAAGAACCCCGCAAGGGGAGUGAAAUAGAAUCUGAAACCGUCUGCAUACAAGCCGUUGGAGCUACAUUAAGUAGUGACAGCGUGCCUUUUGAAGAAUGAGUCUACGAGUUAGUGUCAUGUGGCAAGGUUAACCCGUCGAGGGGAAGCCGUAGCGAAAGCGAGUCUGAAUAGGGCGCCAUAGUCGCAUGAUCUAAACCCGAAGCGAGGUGAUCUAGCCAUGGUCAGGUUGAAGCGUGGGUAAGACUGCGUGGAGGACCGAACCCACAAACGUUGAAAAGUUUGGGGAUGAACUGUGGUUAGGGGUGAAAGG